UCCACGCCGUAAACGAUGCACACUAGGCAUUUGGAGUAUCGACCCUUUGAGUGCCGAAGCUAACGCGUUAAGUGUUCCGCCUGGGGAGUACGGUCGCAAGAUUAAAACUCAAAGGAAUAGACGGGGACCCGCACAAGUGGUGGAGCAUGUGGUUUAAUUCGAAGAUACGCGAAGAACCUUACCUAGCCUUGACAUUGAAGAAACACACUAGAGAUAGAGUGGUGCCCUUCGGG
rnacentral:rRNA from 1 species